ACGCUCGACACCUAGGGAGCAGCAGUGGGGAAUAUUGCACAAUGGGGGAAACCCUGAUGCAGCGACGCCGCGUGAGCGAAGAAGUAUUUCGGUAUGUAAAGCUCUAUCAGCAGGAAAGAAGAAAGACGGUACCUGACUAAGAAGCCCCGGCUAACUACGUGCCAGCAGCCGACGGUAAUCUGAGGCGGGCGUGGCGAAGGC
rnacentral:rRNA from 1 species